GCGGUGCAGGCGCGCGCCCAACGGCUUUGCGAGGCUCACUCGGUCUGAGAGGUCGGAGGCUGCGAGUGUCGCUGCUGAAGGCUGUGGUGGACUGGGCUGGAUCGCGGAUUUUGGAUUAGAUAAUAGAUUUGGGAUCGCGGAUUGGGGGUUGGAUCGCGGAUUUGGGGUUGGAUCGGGGAUUUGGGGUUGGAUAGGGGAUUUGGGGCUGGGUCGGCGGGGGCGUGGGGGGAGGUGAAAAGGUAACAGGGAGCUGCCCCCUCUCAAGAGCCGGUAGUUGGGAGUCUGAGAAGUCACCACCAUGAAGUUGUUCGGCUUCAGGAGCCGCAGGGGCCAGACGGUCCUGGGCUCCAUAGACCACCUCUACACGGGUUCCGGGUACCGAAUCCGGUACUCGGAACUGCAGAAGAUCCACAAGGCAGCUGUCAAGGGCGACGCUGCGGAGAUGGAGCGCUGUCUGGCGCGCAGGAGCGGAGACCUUGACGCCCUGGACAAGCAGCACAGAACUGCUCUACAUUUGGCCUGUGCCAGUGGCCAUGUGAAAGUGGUCACUCUCCUGGUUAACAGAAAAUGCCAGAUUGAUAUCUAUGACAAAGAAAAUAGAACGCCUUUGAUACAGGCUGUCCAUUGCCAGGAAGAGGCUUGUGCCGUUAUUCUGCUGGAACAUGGUGCCAAUCCAAACCUUAAGGAUAUCUACGGCAACACUGCUCUCCAUUAUGCUGUGUAUAGUGAGAGCACCUCACUGGCAGAAAAACUGCUUUUCCAUGGUGAAAAUAUUGAAGCACUGGACAAGGACAGUAAUACCCCACUUUUAUUCGCUAUAAUUUGCAAGAAAGAGAAAAUGGUGGAAUUUUUAUUGAAAAACAAAGCAAGUACACAUGCCGUUGAUAGGCUGAGAUGAACAGCCCUCAUGCUUGCUGUGCACUAUGACUCACUGGGUAUUGUCAACAUCCUUCUUAAGCAAAGUAUUAAUGUCUUUACUCAAGACAUGUGUGGACGAGAUGCAGAAGAUUACGCUAUUUCUUGCCGUUUGACAAAAAUUCAACAACAAAUUUUGGAGCAUAAAAAGAUGAUACUUAAAAAUGACAAACCAGAUGUUGGAAGUUCUGAUGAAUCUGCAGUCAGCAUUUUCCAUGAACUGUGUGUGGAUUCAUUGUCUGCAUUGGAUGACGAACUCUUGAGUGUUGCUGCUAAGCAGUGUGUCCCCGAGAAAGUGUCAGAGCCUUUACGUGGACCUUCCCAUGGAAAAGGAAACAGAAUAGUCAAUGGAAAAGGAGAAGGGCCUCCUGCAAAACAUCCUUCCUUGAAGCCUAGCACUGAAAUGGAAGAUCCUGCUGUGAAAGGAGCAGUACAAAAAAGAAUGUACAGACAUUGAGAGCAGAACAAGCCUUACCAGUGGCUUCAGAGGAAGAACAGCAAAGGCGUGAAAGAAGUGAAAAGAAGCAACCACAGGUCAUAGAAGGAAAUAAUACAUACAAAAGUGAAAAAAUACAACUAUCAGAAAAUAUAUGUCAUAGUACAUUUUCUGCUGCUGCUGACAGAUUAACCCAACAAAGAAAGAUUGGGAAAACAUAUCCUCAGCAAUUUCCCAAGAAACUGAAGGAAGAGCAUGAUAGAUGCACCUUAAAACAAGAAAAUGAAGAAAAAACAAAUGUUAAUAUGCUGCACAAAAAAAAUCGAGAAGAAUUAGAAAGGAAAGAGAAACAAUAUAAGAAAGAAGUUGAAGCAAAACAACUUGAACCAACUGUUCAAUCACUAGAGAUGAAACCAAAGACUGCAAGAAAUACUCCAAAUCAGGAUUUUCAUAAUCAUGAAGAAGUGAAAGAUCUGAUGGAUGAAAAUUGCAUUUUGAAGACAGAUAUUGCUAUACUCAGACAGGAAAUAUGCACAAUGAAAAAUGACAACCUGGAAAAAGAAAAUAAAUAUCUUAAGGACAUUAAAAUUGCUAAAGAAACAAAUGCUGCCCUUGAAAAGUGUAUAAAACUCAAUGAGGAAAUGAUAACAAAAACAGCAUUCUGGUAUCAACAAGAGCUUAAUGAUCUCAAAGCUGAGAAUACAAGGCUCAAUUCUGAACUGUUGAAGGAAAAAGAAAGCAAGAAAAAACUGGAAGCUGAAAUUGAAUCUUAUCAGUCUAGACUGGCUGCUGCUAUAUAAGUAAACACAGUGAAAAUGUGAAAACAGAAAGAAACCUAAAACUUGCUUUAGAGAGAACACAAGAUAUUUCUGAGCAAGUAAAAAUGAGUUCUGAUAUUUCCGAAAUAGAAGAUAAGAAUUAGUUUCUUACUGAACAACUUUCUAAAAUGCAAAUUAAAUUCAAUACCUUAAAAGAUAAUUCCGUAAGACAAGAGAUACUCUCAGAAAAAAGUCAUUGGCUUUAGAAACUGUACAAAACGACCUAAGCCAAACACAGCAGCAAAUAAAGGAAAUGAAAGAGAUGUAUCAAAGUGCAGAAGCUAAAGUCAGUAAAUCCACUGGAAAGUGGAACUGUGUGGAAGAGAGGAUAUGUCAACUCCAACGUGAAAAUCCGUGGCUUGAACAGCAACUAGUUGAUGUUCAUCAGAAAGAGGAUCAUAAAGAGAUAGUAAUUAAUAUCCAAAGAGGCUUUAUUGAGAGUAGAAAGAAAGACCUCAUGCUAGAAGAGAAAAAUAAGAAGCUAAUGAAUGAAUAUGAUCAUUUAAAAGAAAGUCUCUUUCAAUAUGAGAGACAGAAAGCAGAAACAGUAGUAAGUAUCAAGGAAGAUAAAUAUUUUCAAACUUCUAGAAAGAAAGUUUAAACAUUUGGUUCUGGAUACAUGUUGAACCUAGUUGAAUAUAAAAAUCAGUAGAUAAAAAGUGUGUUUACUAUACUGUAUAAUUCCAUUUACAUGAAGCAUCCAGAAAAGAGAAAGGUAUAGGUACAAAAAGUAGAAUAAUGUUUGUGAAGGGCUGGGGCUGGAAGCUGGUAGUGACUGCUAAUGGGCGUGAGGGAUCUUGCAGUGAUGGAAAUGCUCUAAAGUUGGAUUGUAGAGAUGGCUGCACAGCUCAGAAAAUGUACUAAAAAUCUUUUAACUUUAUGUUAAAACAGAUACAUUCUAUAGUAUGUAAAUUAUAUUUCAACAAAGCUUUUUGGUUUAAAAAAAAAGGAAAAAUGUGUUCACUACAUCAGCUUAGAAACAUAACUUGUUUCCAUAGAGGUGAGAGAUGAUUUACUUUGAGAGAAGACAUUGUGUCACCUAUGACAUUUUAUUAGGCACAGAGUCAUAUUUUAAGGUAGAUAGUCCUGUAGUGCUGAAAUAAUAAUUUUAAUGUCUUUAUAUUGCCACAUGUUAAGACCAUGGUGAAGGUAUAAAUGGAAAUGUUUACACCUGAAAUGAGUAUUUUCAAAUUAAAAUUUAAUUAAGUGAUUUGCUUCAACACUUAAUUCUAGAUUUCCCAGAUGAACUGAAGUGUAUUGCUGUAUCUUGUAAUAUCUUGCUUUAAGUAGUUUUUUAUAUAUUUUAGUUGGUAUAGCUUUAUUAUUAUUCAUAUUAAUUUAACUUAAAUCUGAAAAUGUCAGUCUCAAAUUACAUAUUUUAAUGACCACGUAAUGUUUUAAAGGCACCUACUUGUUAUAAAAUUAUAAUUUAGGGUAAAUGUGGUAAAUUUUAGCAAAACUAUAUUUGAUUUAGUCUUCCCACUCGUAUUCAUAAUUUACUUUGAAUAUUUUUAUUAAUAAUUAGCUCAUAAUUUUUA